rnacentral:rRNA from 1 species
AGAGUUUGAUCCUGGCUCAGGAUGAACGCUGGCGGCGUGCUUAACACAUGCAAGUCGAACGAACCUUCGGGUUAGUGGCGGACGGGUGAGUAACGCGUGAGAAUCUGCCCUCAGGAGGGGGAUAACGGCUGGAAACGGCCGCUAAUACCCCAUAUGCCGAGAGGUGAAACGAGUUUUCGCCUGAGGAUGAGCUCGCGUCUGAUUAGCUAGUUGGUGAGGUAAUGGCUCACCAAGGCAUCGAUCAGUAGCUGGUCUGAGAGGAUGAUCAGCCACACUGGGACUGAGACACGGCCCAGACUCCUACGGGAGGCAGCAGUGGGGAAUUUUCCGCAAUGGGCGAAAGCCUGACGGAGCAACGCCGCGUGAGGGAUGAAGGCCUCUGGGCUGUAAACCUCUUUUCUCAAGGAAGUAGACCUGACGGUACUUGAGGAAUAAGCCACGGCUAAUUCCGUGCCAGCAGCCGCGGUAAUACGGGAGUGGCAAGCGUUAUCCGGAAUUAUUGGGCGUAAAGCGUCCGCAGGCGGCCUUUUAAGUCUGUUGUCAAAGCGUGGAGCUUAACUCCAUUUCGGCAAUGGAAACUGGGAGGCUUGAGUGUGGUAGGGGCAGAGGGAAUUCCCGGUGUAGCGGUGAAAUGCGUAGAUAUCGGGAAGAACACCAGUGGCGAAGGCGCUCUGCUGGGCCAUAACUGACGCUCAUGGACGAAAGCCAGGGGAGCGAAAGGGAUUAGAUACCCCUGUAGUCCUGGCCGUAAACGAUGAACACUAGGUGUCGGGGGAAUCGACCCCCUCGGUGUCGUAGCCAACGCGUUAAGUGUUCCGCCUGGGGAGUACGCACGCAAGUGUGAAACUCAAAGGAAUUGACGGGGGCCCGCACAAGCGGUGGAGUAUGUGGUUUAAUUCGAUGCAACGCGAAGAACCUUACCAGGGUUUGACAUCCUGCGAAUCCCUUGGAAACUUGGGAGUGCCUUCGGGAGCGCAGAGACAGGUGGUGCAUGGCUGUCGUCAGCUCGUGUCGUGAGAUGUUGGGUUAAGUCCCGCAACGAGCGCAACCCACGUCUUUAGUUGCCAGCAUUGAGUUGGGCACUCUAGAGAGACCGCCGGUGAUAAACCGGAGGAAGGUGUGGAUGACGUCAAGUCAUCAUGCCCCUUACAUCCUGGGCUACACACGUACUACAAUGCUACGGACAAAGGGCAGCAAACUCGCGAGAGCUAGCAAAUCCCAUAAACCGUGGCUCAGUUCAGAUCGUAGGCUGCAACUCGCCUACGUGAAGGAGGAAUCGCUAGUAAUCGCAGGUCAGCAUACUGCGGUGAAUACGUUCCCGGGCCUUGUACACACCGCCCGUCACACCAUGGAAGUUGGCCACGCCCGAAGCCGUUACUCCGACCC